GGGAGACGCGGGUGCAGAGGGAGAGCUGGGCGCCAUUAUGUAACAACGCAGUAACGAGCCCGAGGAAACUAGCCUAGCCGCAUUUGAGGUCUCCUGUGCCGAAAACCGCCUGUACCGGGAUUGCAAAUUUGUGAGUGCGUCACACCAAUAUGGCGGCUUGAGGAAAAGUCUCUUUUGGCUGCACGUUCGGUGCUGCUCACGUGACCUCGUUGCCUGGUAAUAGAGCUUGGCCGCGAGUCAAGUGGUUAUAGACGGAUGUGGGGGAGGGAAGGAGGAGUUCGAGGCCUCUGCUGGGGGUGAUUCAGUCUGGACAACAGUUCACCAUUUUCCUGCACACUUGUAUACGGCUUGUCAUGUUCAUAGUGUACUGCACACCCUUCCUGUAUUGCCUUGGGGAAACUCAGCACCCUAACCUGGUUGGAUAGCUAAUGCUAUGUGUCUGACAUAAGCUCACAGUGGGGUGUCUGCUGCUGUUUUAAUGGAAAUGUGUGAUAGAAGGAUUUCGUAUAUUCAAAGUGGUUGUCUUAGAAUUAAUGUUUUUAAUUUUUUUGUAAGUCUAAACAAUUCAUUAUCAAACCUGGUAAGCUGCCAGAACCUUGGAUGAAUUAACACUGAAUUUACUUGAA